rnacentral:rRNA from 1 species
AGAACGAACGCUGGCGGCGUGGAUAAGACAUGCAAGUCGAACGCGACUUAUUUUGUUAGCAAUAACAGAGUAAGUUGAGUGGCGAAAGGGUGCGUAACACGUGGGAAUUUACCAAGAAGUGGGGAAUAGCUCGACGAAAGUCGAAUUAAUACCGCAUGUGAUCGAAAGAUCAAAGUCGGGGACCGCAAGGCCUGACGCUUUUUGAGAAGCCCGCGGCCCAUCAGCUAGUUGGUGAGGUAAUGGCUCACCAAGGCUAUGACGGGUAGCUGGUCUGAGAGGACGACCAGCCACACUGGAACUGAGACACGGUCCAGACACCUACGGGUGGCAGCAGUCGAGAAUUUUUCACAAUGGACGAAAGUCUGAUGGAGCGACGCCGCGUGGAGGAUGAAGGUUCUUGGAUUGUAAACUCCUGUCACUGCAGAACAAGGGUACGAUUGUGACAGCACUCGUAUUGAUGGUAUGCGGAGAGGAAGGGACGGCUAACGU